rnacentral:lncRNA from 1 species
GAUUAUUCUGGAGGUAAAGAAGAAGAGAAGAGGAUAUUAUUACCUAGUAAGGAGCCCAGUGUGAGGUGGAGCUUCAAGAGCCAGGAGGAGCUCAGAAUGAGGUGGAGCUCCAGGUGGAGAUGGAUCAGGCAUGAGAUAGGAGACUCGGGAGGACGAGAAGCAAUGUCGCAAGAAAAGAUUCCUAUUGCUGCAGGAUGAUACCCCGAGC